GCUCACAGACCCCGCGCGAAAUGCUCGCUCCAGGCAGCUCUCAGCUUCAGCUUUAGGUCACACUGCAGUGCUUUCCAUGAUGUCGGAACUUUGAGAAGCGAGCUUUUCAGCAGUUGCUAUGAUAAAAAAAAAAAAAAAGAAAAGAAAAAGGAAUUGCCACUGGUAAAUCCAGGUAGACCAGAAAAGUGGGAAGAGGUAUCCGGUCUGAUCCCAGGGUUCGAGAUGUUGUACAGCAACCAACAGGCGCCUACAGCCCACCAUUCAUUGGUGGGGGUUGUUUAAGCAUGAAGGAGAAGUGUACUCUUUCCAUUUAUACCGACUGGUUUUUCAAACAGCUAUAUGGUCGUUAGGACAUAAAUAGUUAAUAAGCUGUUUGGACCUAACUACUUACAAAGAGGACUGUUAGGAAGUUCUCUCAGCUGAGGGGUGCUGUGAAAAAUCGCUGAGACAACGAAGGAGCCGUGAAGAAAAAGCUAGGAAAUCUCUGAGUGCGUUAUCAGCUCUCAGGGAACAACCUCCCCGGUUUGGCGCUUGGCCCGGGAGGGGCGUGGGGCGGGAGGCGGUCCCCAGGAUGCCCGCUUGCUCUUCCUGCUGUCGAUGCCUCACCCACUUAUAUGGGGCCUGUAGUUAGCCAUUCACGGAAGAGGCCUGCUCAGGAAACAGAUGUGCACGCUGCAGAGGAAACCCACAAUCACCGCCUACGUAAAUCCACCGGGCCUUCAUUCAUAAAAACCAGCCAGCCAAGGGCCGCCGAACAGAAGGAAAACACCAGCGUGGAAGGACAGAACAGGGUGAAGAAAAAAUACAUCCACAUCCAGAUGUGCCCUGAGAAAAUUUAAGAACACCAAAAAUAAAAGGAAAAUUCUAAAAGCUCCCACAACGGAAAAAUAGAAGAGGACAAUGUGAUACAAAUGGGCCAGUGGCAGCUCGAGGAAGCUGAGAAACUCACAAAGAAUUCCAAAAGAAGCCAGAAAACCUUAGCGUUGGACCGCUCUGCUGCAGAUGCAAGAUUCAAAUACAGAUCUGGAUUUGCAGAGCCGAUUACUAUGAACAUGCUGACCACUAAUGUGUGCGGGCUUCACAUAAUCCCCUGAGACGGCUGAGCCCUCCAUCCCAAUGAUGCGUCCUAAUGGCUUCCUGUUCUUCACAGCUCAAGUGUGUGCCUGACCAACAACUGGCCUCUGUAUCCUCAGGAGCUCUCACCGAAGGCACCAGCCACUCCGGUGCUCACUGGGCCUCACUCUCCCUGGCCAUGACUUCUCUUAGGUUCCAGGUGCAGGCAGCCUUCGACACAGAGAUGCCCUUGGAAUGUUCUAGCUACCUUCCACUCCCUCCACAGAUUCACAGGAAUAUCGUGAUGCUUUCCGUGCCAUUGGCCACCAGGAUGCUAAACUUGGGCCUGUGGUCUAUCUCCCUGUGCCCUGUAAGUCACUGUCACUGUAACCUGGGUGCUGGAGCAGGGGCAGCCUACAACCACAUCUGCUCUCAAAGUCCUCAGUGAGAAGCAUGGUCAAAGCCCUUUACUCUGAACAGAUUACCCUGGAUCUUUCUGGAUUUUUGCAUGGGACUCCCACCCCCACCCCCACCCCCACCCUGCCCGUCAGCCUUGAAGAGGAGGCCCCCGGUUGGGAGUGGACAUGCACCCUGAGCAUCAGCUACCUUCACCUUACUUUGUCUGCCUUCUCGGCCUACCAUUGAUUGGGACCAGACAGCCCGUACCCCUUUCUCUGUUUCAUCAGCACCUUCCUUAUACGAAACCCCAUGGUCAAAUCGACUUUGCCUAGUUUUGAAUUUGUCAAAAAGGGAGAUCCCAAACUUGGGAGAUCUUUUUCUCUCAGCAUAAAGUUUAGCCUCCAGGCCCUGUGUAUUUCUCAAAUGUCCUAGUAAGUGUGCCAGAAGCUACCUACCCUUAUGUGACUGAAUCAACCUAUUCUUUGCAUUAUCGCUGGUCACCGUCCUCCCCCCAGGGCAGGAGGCUGCCCAGGCUGAGAAGUGAGAAAGCCGCACACCAGGAAAUGCAAAGCAUAAAAUUCUGUCAGCGUACCUUGAAACUAUUUACCUUAUUUUGUAACAAUUGAUGAAGCGCUGCAACAUCAUAAAUCAGCGUAAUUUCCUAACCUGAGGAGUGGGAAGAAGUUUCCUUAAGGAAGUGAUGUUUGGGGUGAGCUUUGAAGGGUCCAUGGGAAUCACGUGGCCCAAAGGAAGUGAAGAGUGUUUCUAGCAAAGGGAACGGCAUUUGCAAAGAGCCAGAGGCCGCAGGAACAUGGUGUGCUCAAGCAAGGAAGAAAAUCCGUGUGGCUGGAGAAUAGGGAAGGAAAACAAGAAGCGUGAGACACGAGAUGCAACAAGGCCAAGGAGAAACACGCCACACAACAGGCAGCCCCAGCUCUGGGCGGGGCAGGGACCAGGCCUCCACGCUCAGGUGGGAAUGGAGAGGGGCGAGAGGGGAGUGAGCAGACAGUGGGGCAGCUCUGACCGCAGCCCUGGCACAGAGCACAUCAAAGGCCAAAAUCUGAGCCCUGCUGGGGUUUGUUCUACGACCUUUAGUGGAUCCACUAAUCGUCCCCAGACUGAAGAAGUCCAGAACCGUGGAUCUAGCCUGAGGACUCCCUGCCCUCAGCCCUAUUCUUCUACAUGACACCCUCCCAGAGAGGGUAUCAAACUCUCCCAGGCAUGCUCAGAACCAAAGCAAGCAAAAUGAGGGUCAUGGUCCACAUGUAAUUAUUCUCCUUUGUCCUCCGUACUGUUGCCCCCAGCACUGGCACCAGUUGCACUGUUUCUGAAAUGCAGUAGAGAAAAUGUCCUCAGACACUUUGGAGAACUCUAGAUUAUCUUGGAAGAACAGAGCACAAGAUAGAAUCUCCACUCCCACCCUUUCCUGGCCUGGUGUCUUGAAGAUGCCCCUCAAAGUAGGUGGGCCUGUGGAAGGGAUGCAGAAGUCAUGCAGGUGACCUCAGCCCCAAAGUUUUCGGGAUGGCCUGAUUUCCCUGUCCAUGGAGAAAGCGUGGGCGGGGGAGGAAACUGGACUCAUUUCACCUUACUUACUCUUAUCCUAGAACUGUGAACUAGAGACAGAUCACAGCCUGUGACUUAUUUUCCCACAUUUGUGAGCGUGCAUUUCUGAUCAUCAGAGAAGUUCAGUGCACUGAAAACCUUCCCUAGACUCCACUGCACAUCUGUAGUGAGGCAGGCGCACGGCCCCCGCAAAGCACGGCGCGGCUCACCCUCACCCUGGGAGAAAGAUCCUAGCUUGGCGUGUGGACCAGGAUUUCCCCAGAGAAAAAGUCAGUAUCCAUAUGACGUAAAGUUCCUUUUCUGAAAUUUAAUCAAAGAGUACCAGCAGAAAAAAAAUCACAAUUAAAAAUACAUAAAAUUCAAGUCAUACUGUUGCCUCCGUUUUAAAUAAAACAACACCACACACAUUUUUUAUACAUAAAUUUUUAUUUCAAAACAUUCGAUCCCCAGAAAGUCUUUCCCAGUAAGUGAUUUUUUAGCAAAGCAGGGCAGUCAUCAAUAGGAUAUUAGUUCUGGGGUGAAGUUUUCCACAAGGUGCCCCUGUAUUGUUGAUGAUGUUUUAAUCAGCUAUCCUUGAAAUGGGAUGAACACAAAAUCAAGUCGUGUACUGAACCUUGAAGGUUAUUAUACAGCAAAAUGAAUUUGAAGCCUCAGAAAACACCUAAGAACUAAGAAUGUGUUUUAAUGUCCAUGAAAAAAAUACAAUAUAGAGGGUGGGUCUAAAGAAUGAUUAUUUAAAGCCAGAGGUAGACGUUCUGCAAU